GACGAACGCUGGCGGCGUGCUUAACACAUGCAAGUCGAACGGAAAGGCCUGCUUUCCCUUGUGGAUUGCGGGUACUCGAGUGGCUAACGGGUGAGUAACACGUGAGUGAUCUGCCCCCAACUUGGGUAUAAGCCUGGGAAACUGGGUCUAAUUCCCGAUAGGACUGCAGGGUGGUGCCUGUGGUGGAAAACGAUUUUCUAGUGGUUGGGGAUGAGCUCGCGGCCUAUCAGCUUGUUGGUGGGGUACUGGCCUACCAAGGCGGCGACGGGUAGCCGGCCUGGGAGGGUGGACGGCCACAUUGGGACUGAGAUACGGCCCAGACUCCUACGGGAGGCAGCAGUGGGGAAUAGUGCAAAAUGGGCGGAAGCCUGAUGCAGCGACGCCGGGUGGGGGAUGACGGCCUUCGGGUUGUAAACUCCUUUCGACCGCGAGGAAGCCACCUGGUUGGAAGGGUGGUGACGGUAGUGGUAGAAGAAGCACCGGCUAACUACGUG
rnacentral:rRNA from 1 species